rnacentral:lncRNA from 14 species
GGGGGGGGAAAGGAAGGACUACAAGGCCCGGCAUGCCCCGGCGGUGCUGCACGGCUCCCCGGGGUGCCGGAUGCUGGCCGUGCCGCUGACAGCGGAGCGGAGCGGAGCCGCGGUCCCCGCCGCGCACGGAGAGAGGAGCGAGGGGCUGGGCGCGCCUGGCCGCCGGCUCUGCUCCCCCCCUUUAUCCCAGCCCCCACAAAGCCGGGAGCGGCAGAAGGCAAGAGAGAGGGAGGAGGUGGUGGUGGUGGGGAGGAGGAGGAGGAGGAGGAGGAGGAGGAGGAGGAGGAGGAGGAGGAGGAGGAAGGGGGGAGGCAGCGGCAAGCCAGGGCUCUGCUGCGCUGUGUCUUUCUUUGCUUUCCGCAGGCGGCGAGCGGCGGAGGCGCAGAGGGGAGGUGGCGAGCGGUGCCGAGGGCUCCGGGACCCCCGCGGCCGGUCAGGACGCAGCCCCGGCGGGCGGCAGGAGCCUCCCCAAGCGGGCGGGCUCCGAGGGGCGCGGAGCGCAGGAGCCGGCGGGUCCGACGCCAGUUUCCAUGGAAACAGCCGGGAGCAGAAACGGGAACCAGAAUCCAGAAAUGUGAAGCUUUGAGCUCCAGUUCGCCUUCCUGGAUUCCUGCUCCCCGUGACCCCAGCUGGGUGCUGGCACCCACACUGCUCCCGCUGUGUGUUGGGGGGCAGGGCUGCCCCACCUGGGCACCCCCUGGGCGUGGGGCGCUCCUCUCUCCCUGCACGCUGCAGCACUCUGGGCAUGGUGUGUGGGCAUGGGCACGGCGUCCCAGCAGGGAUGUGGGGGCACUGUGGGAAUGGGACACUGCAGGCAGGGACACUGCAGGCGGGGACAUUGCUGCCUGGAGACACUGCUGGCUGGGGACAUUGCUGGUUGGGGACAUUGCUGGCUGGGGACACUGCUGGUUGGGGACACUGCUGGCAGCCCCACGUUCAAACAGCACCUGCACACAUCUGUGUGUCAAGGUGGUGCACAGGGUGGGUGGGAUGUACGUGCCCGUGUGCUCUUGCAGGCACGUCUGCUUUAUAGGUGUAGGCACAGUAUGGAUCAAUAUGUGGUCUCUGUAUUACUGGUUAGCACUGGGAUGACCCCGGUCCCAGGUUGUUUACCUGCCCUGGUGUCUCCAUCCCCAGGAUGCAGAGGGGACCCCAGAGCCUGGAGAGGGGCAGCACCAGCUGUCAUUGCAUGCAGGGGCCUGGGUGCUACCCCAAUUCUGGGUGUAUGUGUGUGACCCGGGGGGAGCCCUGCUCAGCCUCCUGGGGCUGGGAGCCCCCUGGACUCCUCUGGGCAUCUCCUGCCAAAGUGGAGCCUCUUGGGACACAUCUGUGUCCUGCAAAGCCGAGCUGUGAGCUCUGUGCUGUGUCCAUCCAUCCAGCCCGUGCCAUGUGUCUAUCCUGCACCUUCCCUGCUGCCCACCAGCCUCCUGCAGCCCCUCAAGUGUGCAGUGACCUGCCCCAUUCCUUUGUGAGCUCGUAGCAGCCAGCGUCCAUGCCCGCAGCGUGGGACAUGGGUGUCCCCCAGCACCUCCUGGCCAGUGACAGGGAUCGCUCGCUGCCAGCCCAGUGCCAGCUGGCCCCAUCCUCCCUGCACACCCCGCUGCUCCCCACAUGCCCAUUUCGCUAAGCUGCCAGCAGGCUGGGACACACCGGCGCAGCUCGUGGCUACAGAUCCCACCCCCAUCCCUCUGUCCUGUCCCCAUCCCCGUGCCACACCUCGGGGUGAUGGUGGCACUGCCACCACGCCUGUCCCCCCUCAGUGGCGCGCGGAGCCAAGGGCAGGAGCGCUCCGUGAUACAUCAUUUACCCACGGACAGGUAUUAGGAUACAUUAUGGAUAACUCACGGAGAGAGACGCUAUUAAUAAUACAGACACAUACAGAGGGAAGAAAGUGCACACUUGAUUUCCAUGUUGCUACCAGGAGUUGUGAGGCUGGCUCUGGCUGCCUCUUCCCACACGUGACUGCAACACAGUGGGUAGCUGACAGCCCAGAGAGCCUGGCUUGGGGCCAGGAAAAAGCAGAAAACACAAUGUCUGUGCAUAUCCUCUCUCUUAAAAUAACACUCCAACACCGUCUGAGACGAAUUAAAAUAAGAUCAGGAGCGGUCUCGCGAAGAGAGGAAGACGAGGAGGGAAAAGCCAGGCAGGGGAAUGGCCGGAGCUGGGCGGCUUCAGCCCCUGGCGCAGAUGGAGAGGGGGAGUUCUGCAGGGUUAGAGUUGAAAAUAAUUGAGGGGGGAAAAAGCCCAAGGAGAAGGAGAAGGCGAAGAGAGAGCGGUGGAUGCGGUUCUGGGAGGGAGGAUGGCGGCGGCGCUGGCUGUCCGGCACAUGGCUGUCCUCUGGAGGGGAGCCGGGCAGGGCGGGGGAUGCGAGCACAGCCUGCAUGAUGGAGAGCAUCAGGAAUUUCCUGCAGCUGAGGAACACACCAAAUACCAGAAUGCAAGAGCGAGCGGA